rnacentral:rRNA from 1 species
UACGUAGGGUGCGAGCGUUAAUCGGAAUUACUGGGCGUAAAGCGUGCGCAGGCGGUUUUGUAAGCCGGAUGUGAAAUCCCCGGGCUUAACCUGGGAAUGGCAUUCGGGACUGCAAGGCUGGAGUGCGGCAGAGGAGACUGGAAUUCCUGGUGUAGCAGUGAAAUGCGUAGAUAUCAGGAGGAACACCGAUGGCGAAGGCAGGUCUCUGGGCUGACACUGACGCUUAUGCACGAAAGCGUGGGGAGCAAACAGG